rnacentral:rRNA from 1 species
GACGUAGGGGGCGAGCGUUGUCCGGAAUUACUGGGCGUAAAGAGCACGUAGGCGGGAACUUAAGUCAGGUGUGAAAGACCGUGGCUCAACCACGGGGUUGCAUUUGAAACUGAGUUUCUUGAGGGCAGGAGAGGAAAGCAGAAUUCCUGGUGUAGCGGUGGAAUGCGCAGAGAUCAGGAGGAAUACCGAAGGCGAAGGCAGUCUUCCAAGCCGUUAUUGACGCUCAACUGCGAAGGUGUGGGUAUCAAACAGGAUUAGAUACCCGUGUAGUCCCU